UUAAGUCAGGCAACAAGCGAGACCCACGCCAACAGUUGCCAGCUCGUCCUCCGGGAUGGUGGGGACACUGUUGGGACCGCCUCUGCUAAAGAGGAGGAAGGAAUGGGCAACGGUAGGUCAGCAUGCCCCGAAUUAUCCGGGCUACACGCGGGCUACAAUGGGUGGGACAAUGGGUAUCGACACCGAAAGGUGAAGGCAAUCUCCUAAACCCAUCCUUAGUUCGGAUUGUGGGCUGCAACUCGCCCACAUGAAGCUGGAAUCUGUAGUAAUCGUGUCUCAACAUGGCACGGUGAAUAUGUCCCUGCUCCUUGCACA
rnacentral:rRNA from 1 species